UGAGCAACCUACCGAAUUGUGGGGGAUAGCCGGCCCAACGGCCGGGUAAUACCGCAUACGCUCGAGACCAGGCAUUUGGACUCGAGGAAAUCUACGGAGCAAUUCGAGGGGCUCGCGGCCUAUCAGCUAGUUGGCGAGGUAAUGGCUCACCAAGGCGACGACGGGUAGCUGGUCUGAGAGGAUGGCCAGCCACAUUGGGACUGAGAUACGGCCCAG
rnacentral:rRNA from 1 species